GGACCCGCACAAGUAGUGGAGCAUGUGGUUUAAUUCGAAGAUACGCGCAGAACCUUACCAACACUUGACAUGUUCGUACGCGACUCUAAGAGAUUAGAGUUUUCGGUUCGGCCGGACGAAACACAGGUGCUGCAUGGCUGUCGUCAGUUCGUGUCGUGAGAUGUUGGGUUAAGUCCCGCAACGAGCGCAACCCUCACUUUUAGUUGCCAUCAUUUAGUUGGGCACUCUGAAAGAACUGCCAGUGAUAAGCUGGAGGAAGGUGGGGAUGACGUCAAGUCCUCAUGGCCCUUACGUGUUGGGCUACACACGUGCUACAAUGGUAUCUACAACAGGAAGCAAGACGGCGACGUCAAGCAAAUCCUUAAAAGAUACCUCAGUUCGGAUUGCACUCUGCAACUCGAGUGCAUG
rnacentral:rRNA from 1 species